GAUAUACAAAGGAAUUCAGUAUGAGGGGAGGGUCGGGAAACAUUUCACCCAGACAGAUGGUGCUUGAGCUACAUCUUAAAGGAAGAGAAGGACUCCAUGGGGUGGAGAUGAGGAUGAAGAACAUUCCAUAAAUGGGAGAGAGAGAAAGGAAGCCAGUAUGACUAGAUUGCAGCUAAAUUACACAGGCAGGAACCCAUUCAGAGGACUGGAUUCAAUUCUUGGUACUACAAUUUAAGAAGCACAUUGAUAAAUUGGAGGAGUAUCCAGGCAAUGGUUACGAGGAUGGAGGAAGAUUCUUGAGACUACGGCACAUGCUGACUAGUCCAAAGAACUAGGAAUGUUCAGCCUGGAGAAAACUCAGCAGGGACUUGGCAGAUCCCAGGCAAUGUCCAAUAAGUGCCCAAAGGAUCUCUCUUUGGUUCCCGUGAGGUCUGAUCUACCAGGAAAGAUGACGAGGGACCAACUUCGACACUACGACCACUACCACAAACAUCAUCAUCUUCUUUAUCAUCAUUACCUGGGAUCUUACAUGAAAACCACAGAUCGAUUAAAUACUCACUGUGUACUCCCAGCUGCCAGGUGCUCUCUUUCUCCUCUCACUGACUCUGUGUUUCCCUCACUGCCUGCAGAGUGUUUAUUGAGACAAUAAACUUUGAGUCUGAAAAGCUCAUAAAAAGCACAUGUAUUUCAUGAAAAUCCAAAGUCUCUUCUCUUUUCCUUUGUCAUCAACCACCUGCCAUUUGCCGAGAUUUUCCCUGCCCAUGUCCCCUUAAGCUUCUACCCUUAAAAUAUGGGUCAAAUUAUGGGAACAGACAGAGCCUACCUCAAACUAACAUACACACCUAGAAUAACAAAAAAAUGG
rnacentral:lncRNA from 1 species